GCUUACUGCAUCACAAAUGAUUCGCUGCAACACAAAUGAGAUCUCCUUCCCGUUUUUGACAGAGGCCUGACGGUUGACACUGAAGCCUCUUACAACACUUGCCUGCCCGUUCAAGACGAGAAGAAGUUGGACAACUUUCCACAGGUGCUUGUAGGAUGAGUCAACCUUCAAUAGCUUAAGAAGUUCUGUGUAUUUGCCAAGGACGGAAUCACACUCAUGCUCACCCAAAUGUCCAACUGCAAAGACUGCUUCUAAGACUCCUGAAACAUGAAAGGCACUCAUCUGGCUUUGAGGCCAUUUGACGGGGGUCGAUCGAAGACAGGCUCCUAACCAGGUGGAUCCACAGCAUCUCCGGGUUGGCCGCACACUCGUGUGCUUUGCACAGGCUGCUCACAUC